GGGUUGUGAGGUUAAGCGACUAAGCGUACACGGUGGAUGCCUAGGCAAUCAGAGGCGAUGAAGGACGUGCUAAUCUGCGAUAAGCGUCGGUAAGGUGAUAUGAACCGUUAUACCCGACGAUUUCCGAAUGGGGAAACCCAGUGCAAUUCGUUGCACUAUCGUUUGAUG
rnacentral:rRNA from 1 species